rnacentral:tRNA from 1 species
AGCCCGUUCGGCUAAAUGUGGGUAAUUGAAAGCGUCACCGGUCGCGUACGCUCAUAAUGGUCUCGUUGCUGGUUCAAGUCCAGCCGGGCUCACCA